GAUGAUGAACGUAGUGAAAUGCGAUAAGUAAUGUGAAUUGCAGAAUUCAGUGAAUCAUCGAAUCUUUGAACGCACAUUGCGCCCCUUGGUAUUCCGAGGGGCAUGCCUGUUCGAGCGUCAUUAUAACCCUCAAGCUCAGCUUGGUGUUGGGGCCUGCUGCACUGGCAGCCCUUAAAAUCAGUGGCGGCGCCAUCUGGCUCUAAGCGUAGUAAUUCUUCUCGCUAUGGAGUCCUGGUGGAUGCUUGCCAUCAACCCCCAAUUUUUCUAUGGUUGACCUCGGAUCAGGUAGGGAUACCCGCUGAACUUAAGCAUAUCAAUAAGCGGAGGA
rnacentral:misc_RNA from 1 species